AAUUUAUUCCCAAAAUUAAUAGCUAGCAUUUUUGCAGUGCUUUAUAGAGACUUGCCAUUUUACAUGUAUUUUAUGGAAACCUGGAAAUCCUUGAGAGCUAGGAAGGUUUACUGAUUACUCCACUAAAAUCAUACUUUGAGAUAAUAAGGUAAAUAUUUGGUAUAUGUCCAGACUUUUCUUAGUGUUAGCCGCCAUGGGGCAUUGAGGGGUUUGGCCACCAACUCAGUCUGCAUUGUCUCUGACCAUAGAGUAUAAGGUAACUAAACAUCAAGAUAAGUAAUCUGCUUCUGAAAAAUUUAAAUCAAUAUUGUUCUGUCUAUAUGUGUAAUUUCUUAAGGAUUUGAUAGAAAAUUAGAAUUGAAGGAGACCUGUAAACUAUGAAACUGACUUUUCAUUUUGUUUCUGUAGUAAACUGUCCCAUAAUACCAUGGCCAUUAUCAUUUUGCUUCCACAGAAUGAUAUUCUUUAGAACCUAGUCAUUAGGUAAAUAGUUACAUCCUUAAAACUUUGUUUUAUUCCUUGAAAAUGGGAACAGGAUCAUAUAAAGAAAUAGAAAGUUUGAAACAACAGCAGGAGAACACUAUAAACACAUAAUCAAUUUAUAUUAGGUGAAAGUCCAUCCAGCUCUAAAGGAACUGAUUAAAACAUUAAAAUUUGAAUUCAAAUAAAAAGAGUAGGUCAGACAAUGAACAAGAUCCAAUCACUUCAGUCUAUACUUUUUUGGGAGUACACGUAAGCAGUUUUUCUUUUUAUCCCUAGUGCCUUGAUUACUGAUUUGAACAUAGUAGGCACUUAAUCAAUAGUUAAUUAUUUUUUGGGUUUUUUUUUGUGCCUUGCAUUCAUGAUAAGGCAAACUAUUAGUGACAUUCCAUUAUAUAGCACUAUGAGAAUGAUUGGGUUACUUUGGUUGUGACCUCUUCAAUGUGAGCACUCCCACCAUUGGUUCUAAUUGCAACUUACCCAUACCUUUUUAGUUGUCCCCCAUAUUAUAAAACCUUCAUGGAGAAUUUAACUUGUGUUUUAAAAUAUUACUUUUAAUAUUUUGUUAACUGUCAAUAGUAUUCAUUAUCUAGAGGUAACCAACUUUUAGUGUGGAUCUUACUCAGAAUAUCCUGCGUGAUGCUACCUUUGAUGAGCAUCUUGUCUCCCUGGUUUGUUUUUUAUUAGAUAAUGAUAUUCAAAAGUUGGUUGAACAAACUUAUCACUACUACAUCUAUCAAGGGAUCUUAAAAAAAAAAAUUCUUAUUAUACAUUAGGAGUAUUAAAGAAGAAGCCUUUAAGGCUAAAACUUGUCAUGCUCUGCUGAGUCAAAUACCUUUUGUAUACAAUCAAUAAUGAGGGUCUUGUGGCUCUACUUUUCAGACAGUUCUAUAAUGGUACAGACAUAGUCUGAUAUAAAAGAAAUUUAAGAACCUUGUGUUUUCAUUAGUAUGUCCUCAUUUGCAUAGACCAUUAUGUUGAUUUUAGAGAUGAGGAAGUCACAUAGGUCGAUUCUUGAAGUCUUCUGAGCAAAGUAUUGUGUGGGGAAGAUCAUAAGGAAUAGUAAUAAUAAUAGUGUUAAAAAUAUGAAGAGUUUUAGUCUUUGUUAUAUGAAAUGUGAAAUAGGACAAUGACUGGCAGCAUGUUAAAUAGCAUUAUUAAGGACUAAAGGAAUGGUGAUUUUAAUGAGCUGUGCAAAUAUUAGUAAAAAUUGUUUGGGAUUUGUCAAAAGAUCUGGAAAUGUUAAUAGAUCUAGAAAUUUUAACAAACCUUAGAUAAUAAGCUACUAUUUUAUGGUCUAAAGAUGCCAUGGGAUUGCCAUUUCUUAGAUUCAUUGAAUCUUUUCAGUGAUGAAAAGAUUUGCCAUUUUCCUUUGCAGUUGUAUUCUUCCUUUUUCAUUGUGUGACUUAAUGGAGAGAAGUGCUUUUACAACUCUCAGCUGUUAGCAUCUAUUUAGACCUGUUCAAAACUUGUUCUUUCCCCCUUUCAUCAUUGUAAUCGAAAGUCAUGCAUUUGAGAUGGCCAUGCAUAUGGCCUAAUUUUUUUUUUUUAAUCAGAAUUAUAAUGUUUAGUGCUUUAGUAAUAACACCGAUUCUGAUAUUUGUUUUGGUAAUUUUGUGUAGAUAGGCCUAAGCAGGAUUCCAUGGAUUCUAUUUUAGCAGUAUUUGUGUUCCUCCUCCUUUUCCUAACAGUAAUCUAUCUAUCUAUCUAUCACCAUUCCAAAAUCAUGGCUUUGUAGCUCAGGUUCUUUUCUCUUUUUACCUAGACAUUUAAGAGAUUUAUGCUUACUCUCAAUAAAGGUGAAAACAGGGAAAGAUGGGAAUUCCUGUAUUUUUUAAGACUUGACACUUUUAAUAUUGAGACAUUUUACUAGAAGGUUUUACUUGGGCAAUAAAUUCCAAAUCUCAACUCUUACUCUCUACCCUACCCACUUAUAUUUCUAAAGGAAUAGUGGAGAGAAGUCUGUUUCCUAACAUUGAUCAAGUGUGAUUUCAGGACAGGACAGACUCUUGGGUCUCUCAGAAGGAAAAGUCAAAUGAUUUACAGAAAAUGAAGAAUGCCCAAAUCAUCUUUAUUUCUCCAGAACAUACAAACUACGUUAGGGAGAGGGAAGAUAAAUUCCAUAUUAAUUUGUCAAAUUAAAAAUUAGAAAAAAAAUCUGGGUAAUCUACAGGAUGGUUUGAACUCCAUAAGAAUCAUCUGCGGUUUGUAAUACACAAAGACAGAAUUAAGUCACCAUUAGUAGAAUAUGCAGGGGUUUUUUUUAAUCACUUUGCCAGAUUAGAGACCAGCAUGUAAUAGGAUGGCAGUCAGUUGACCUAACUUGGAUGUUAUAACUAUGCAUUUUGCUUCUCACCUCACUAGCAAUGCUCUAAGCAACCACCUACACUGUUAGUUGCUUUGAACAUACCUUUUAUGUUAUUUAGCAAUAAAUAAUAGAGCCAAAGAAGCAAGGUCUAAAUCAUUUGAUUUUUCAAGAGUUAAAGUGAUUUAUUUCUAUGAACCAGAAAGGGAUUUUUCACGUUCAGUCAGAGAAUCUAGUUGGACACAAGGAAAAGCUCUUAAGCUGUGACUUGUUUCUGCCUUGGGUUCAUACAGUGGUUAAAUGGUGAAUAAAGUUUAACAUUCCUGGGAUUAACUCUUUUAAAAAAGAAAAUAGGAGUUGCAUGGCAUCAUAGGCAGUAGAGUAUAGGACUUUAUUAAACACAAAGGACACUAAAUCCUAAAUAAAAGCCAUUGUUUUGAUUCCAGGUAUCUCUAACUAUAAGCACCAUAGAUGAGCAUCAGGACUCUGAUGUAUAAUUCACCAAUAUAUAAUUCUUUUGCACUAGCCUUAAAAUGAAUGAAAUCAUGGGUUUAGUAUCCUACCCUUUUUUAAGGCUUUAGCAAUAAGGGCCAAUAGAAAGCACUCCCUAAUGGUUGGUCAGUAUUAAUAUCAAUAUAGGGUGAUAUUUUGGUCAGGUAUUCAUACAGCUUCAAAUGUUUGGGGAGGAGAUUGCAUCAAAGCUCCAUUGAAUGAUCUUUUCAUCUGGCCAUCCCAUGCUACAUCAUGCUGUAACUUACCAUCUUCACCAGCACUCACCAGAGGAAUGGGAGCAAUUGCCAUGUGUGUCCUUGACACUUUAAAAUCUUACAUGCCAGUAGGCCUUAGCACUUUGAAAAAUAAAGUCUGCCUUGUCAUUUCCUGUUACUAUCAUACCUCCUCAUCCUCUUACUACCUUACACCAUUCCUGUUACUGUUCAUGUAAACUACCUGCUUCAGAAUUGAAUGUAAAAUAAUUUCUGGACAUGGACAGAAUGUGUAUUUUACCUUAAUGUUUUAUUUUAUGUUAAAUAAAGGC
ensembl:lncRNA